rnacentral:rRNA from 1 species
GACGAACGCUGGCGGCGUGCCUAAUACAUGCAAGUAGAACGCACAGUUUAUACCGUAGCUUGCUACACCAUAGACUGUGAGUUGCGAACGGGUGAGUAACGCGUAGGUAACCUGCCUGGUAGCGGGGGAUAACUAUUGGAAACGAUAGCUAAUACCGCAUAAUAUUGAUUAUUGCAUGAUAAUUGAUUGAAAGAUGCUAUUGCAUCACUACCAGAUGGACCUGCGUUGUAUUAGCUAGUAGGUGAGGUAACGGCUCACCUAGGCGACGAUACAUAGCCGACCUGAGAGGGUGAUCGGCCACACUGGGACUGAGACACGGCCCAGACUCCUGCGGGAGGCAGCAGUAGGGAAUCUUCGGCAAUGGACGAAAGUCUGACCGAGCAACGCCGCGUGAGUGGAGGAGGUUGUCGGGUCGUAAAGCUCUGUUGUAAGGGAAGAACGGGUGUGGGAGUGGAAAGGUCACACUGUGACGGUAUCUUACCAGAAAGGGACGGCUAACUACGUG